rnacentral:rRNA from 1 species
CAGUCGCCACGGGAAUACGAAGGGGGCUAGCGUUGUUCGGAAUUACUGGGCGUAAAGCGCACGCAGGCGGUUGCCCAAGUCAGAUGUGAAAGCCCCGGGCUUAACCUGGGAACUGCAUUUGAAACUGGGCGACUAGAGUAUGAAAGAGGAAAGCGGAAUUUCCAGUGUAGCAGUGAAAUGCGUAGAUAUUGGAAGGAACACCGAUAGCGAAGGCAGCUUUCUGGGUCGAUACUGACGCUCAUGUGCGAAAGCGUGGGGAGCAAACAGGAUUAGAUACCCCCGUAGUCCCUGUCUCUUAUAC